GUUUCAGCUUCAAGAUCAAAUUACCAAACGAAGAUUCGUCGAGAAAUAUGCAAAUGUGGAAAUUCUCAAACUGGAAACAAAGAUAGAGAAGAAGGAGAAGAGACUCAGACUUGUUAAAAGAUUUGCAGAGGCCGAACAAAUCAGACUUGAAAACGAAGUUUAUAAAUGUUUACAUUUGAAAGAAGUUUUGGAAGAAGAGGCUGCAUCUUUUAGACAAGAGUUGACUGACUUGCAACAGAAGGAGGUGACAGAGAAGAACCAUAGCGAAACACAUCUGACUUACGCUCUGACGGCUUUAGAUUGGUUACAAACUACAGUGUCGUGUCUUCAAAAGCGGGUAAAAGAGCUGGAGACAGAACUUUCAAG